UUAGGAUUUGGUUAGGAUUUGAUUUAGGAUUUAGAGUUUAAUUAGGAUUUGGUUUAGGAUUUAGAGUUUAGAUUAGGAUUUGAUUUAGGGUUUAGGAUUUGAAUUAGGGUUUGGUUAGGAUUUGAUUUAGGGUUUAGGGAUUUAAGAUUUAGUUAGGAUUUGGUUUAGGAUUUGGUUGUGGUUUGGUUUAAGAUUUGUUUAAGGUCUGAUUUAGGGUUUAGGAUUUUAUUAGGAUUUAAGAUUCAAUUAGUUUUGGCCUAAAGUUUGAAUGAAGUUCAAUAGGAUUUUAACUAGAAUUAAAUUAAGAUUGAAUUGAGAUGUAGGAUUUUUUUUGUGAUCCUUCUAAUAUUUCUUUAAGAAUUCUUAUUAUUUGUUUGAAAUUUAUUUGAGGUUUUUUUUGAAUUUGAUUAAGCUUUCUUAGCAUUAUUAUGGUCUAAUUAGAGCAUUGUUAGUAUUCUAUUAGAAUUAAGAUUUUAUUAUUGAAAUUUUCAUUCUUCCUUCUAUAGCUUGGUGCCCAGAGCAUUCUCAAGCAAGACUUCACGUAUUACGACACCGUAAAGAUAAAAGCUUGGUCUUUACUACUCUUUCUUGAUCACUUUCUCCAAAUGUGGCUAUAAACACUUCUAGGAAUGAAAUCAAAUUAUAAAAGAGUCGUGAAUCCUUUUCCAUUAAAGAAGCAAACCAAGAGUGAUCACUUUUUGAUAGAAGUAUAUUUAUGAAUUCGACUUGAAUAAAUCUAUUAGGAUAUUGGAAAGAAUGCAAUCUUAGAUAGACCUUGAGUUGUUGUAGAAAUCCUUAAGAUUUUAAUCUUCUUCUAUCAAACUUCUCAAGCACACUAAUCCUUUUCCUUUUCAUACUUAUAGAAGCAAAACUCUUUAGAUUUGGUUGUGAGGUUAAUCUA
rnacentral:lncRNA from 1 species